rnacentral:rRNA from 1 species
CUUUGACAAUGGGCGAAAGCCUGAUGGAGCAACGCCGCGUGCAGGAUGAAGGCCUUCGGGUUGUAAACUGCUUUUAUAAGCGAGAAAUAUGAUGGUAACUUAUGAAACAGCAUCGGCUAACUCCGUGCCAGCAGCCGCGGUAAUACGGAGGAUGCGAGCGUUAUCCGGAUUUAUUGGGUUUAAAGGGUGCGUAGGCGGGCUGUUAAGUCAGCGGUAAAAUUGCGGGGCUCAACCCCGUCGAGCCGUUGAAACUGGCGGCCUUGAGUAGGCGAGAAGUGUGCGGAAUGCGUGGUGUAGCGGUGAAAUGCAUAGAUAUCACGCAGAACUCCGAUUGCGAAGGCAGCACGCCGGCGCCUUACUGACGCUGAAGCACGAAAGCGUGGGUAUCGAA